AGAGUUUGAUCCUGGCUCAGAACGAACGCUGGCGGCAUGCCUAACACAUGCAAGUCGAACGAGAUCUUCGGGUCUAGUGGCGCACGGGUGCGUAACGCGUGGGAAUCUGCCCUUUGGUUCGGAAUAACAGUUGGAAACGACUGCUAAUACCGGAUGAUGACGAAAGUCCAAAGAUUUAUCGCCAGAGGAUGAGCCCGCGUAGGAUUAGCUAGUUGGUGUGGUAAAGGCGCACCAAGGCGACGAUCCUUAGCUGGUCUGAGAGGAUGAUCAGCCACACUGGGACUGAGACACGGCCCAGACUCCUACGGGAGGCAGCAGUGGGGAAUAUUGGACAAUGGGCGAAAGCCUGAUCCAGCAAUGCCGCGUGAGUGAUGAAGGCCUUAGGGUUGUAAAGCUCUUUUACCCGGGAUGAUAAUGACAGUACCGGGAGAAUAAGCUCCGGCUAACUCCGUGCCAGCAGCCGCGGUAAUACGGAGGGAGCUAGCGUUGUUCGGA
rnacentral:rRNA from 1 species